rnacentral:tRNA from 1 species
GCGGACGUGGUGGAAUGGUAGACACAAGGGACUUAAAAUCCCUCGCUGAGUUUUCGGCAUGCGAGUUCGAGUCUCGCCGUCCGCA